CCGGUGAUCCUGCCGGACCCGACUGCUAUCAGAGUAGGACUAAGGCAUGCGAGUCAACAUAGCAAUAUGUGGCAUACGGCUCAGUAACACGUAGUCAACAUGCCCAGGGGACGUGGAUAACCUCGGGAAACUGAGGAUAAACCGCGAUAGGUCAUUACUUCUGGAAUGGGUAAUGACUCAAACCUAUAUGGCCCCUGGAUUGGACUGCGGCCGAUCAGGCUGUUGGUGAGGUAAUGGCCCACCAAACCUGUAACCGGUACGGGCUCUGAGAGGAGGAGCCCGGAGAUGGGCACUGAGACAAGGGCCCAGGCCCUAUGGGGCGCAGCAGGCGCGAAACCUCUGCAAUAGGCGAAAGCUUGACAGGGUUACUCUGAGUGAUUUCCGUUAAGGAGAUCUUUUGGCACCUCUAAAAAUGGUGCAGAAUAAGGGGUGGGCAAGUCUGGUGUCAGCCGCCGCGGUAAUACCAGCACCCCGAGUGGUCGGGACGUUUAUUGGGCCUAAAGCAUCCGUAGCCGGUUCUACAAGUCUUCCGUUAAAUCCACCUGCUCAACAGAUGGGCUGCGGAAGAUACUAUAGAGCUAGGAGGCGGGAGAGGCAAGCGG
rnacentral:rRNA from 1 species